AGCGAACGCUGGCGGCAGGCCUAACACAUGCAAGUCGAACGAACCCUUCGGGGUUAGUGGCGGACGGGUGAGUAACACGUGGGAACGUGCCUUUAGGUUCGGAAUAACUCAGGGAAACUUGUGCUAAUACCGAAUGUGCCCUUCGGGGGCAAGAUUUAUCGCCUUUAGAGCGGCCCGCGUCUGAUUAGCUAGUUGGUGAGGUAAUGGCUCACCAAGGCUACGAUCAGUAGCUGGUCUGAGAGGAUGACCAGCCACAUUGGGACUGAGACACGGCCCAAACUCCUACGGGAGGCAGCAGUGGGGAAUCUUGCGCAAUGGGCGAAAGCCUGACGCAGCCAUGCCGCGUGGAUGAUUAAGGUCUUAGGAUUGUAAAAUCCUUUCACCGGUGAAGAUAAUGACUGUAGCCGGAGAAGAAGCCCCGGCUAACUUCGUGCCAGCCGCCGCAGUAAUAC
rnacentral:rRNA from 1 species